AGGACCCUUACCGGAUGCUGGCAUUCAGCGACCUAGAGGUUAUGGCAGCUCUUCAUGAUGGAGAGAAAUGGAGCUGGCCAAGAGAGAUAGCUCUGGUCGCUGGAUCCAGCCGGCCGGCACCUGUGAGUUUAGAUACGUUUUUGGUUGCUUCCUUCUGUGUUGUGCGGGAUCAGAUCGUGUGGGAGUGCAACCUAUACUUCCUUGCACUAAUAACAAUUAUGGUGAGAAACAUAGUGAGCAACCAACACUAUUUCGGUUAAGCUCAUCGUGUGUGGUGGUUUAGAUUAUAAUUUUAUUAGAAUAGGGUGAAUUGUGAAUUCCAGUAUAGCAUUUGCAUUAUUGUGCAUUGGCAACUUCUCUGUUUGCAUUAUUAUAUCCUAAUGAUAGGGCUCAAUGAAAUUCAAACUUUGAUAUGGUGUAAUUGUCUUUUAGUUGAGAUAUCAAGCUAUCUUCAUGUACAAUCCAGAGUGGCAGGCUGCUGCAUAGAACAUUACUACA